UGACGAGUGGCGGACGGGUGAGUAAUGCUUGGGAACUUGCCUUUGCGAGGGGGAUAACAGUUGGAAACGACUGCUAAUACCGCAUAAUGUCUUCGGACCAAACGGGGCUUCGGCUCCGGCGCAAAGAGAGGCCCAAGUGAGAUUAGCUAGUUGGUAAGGUAACGGCUUACCAAGGCGACGAUCUCUAGCUGUUCUGAGAGGAAGAUCAGCCACACUGGGACUGAGACACGGCCCAGACUCCUACGGGAGGCAGCAGUGGGGAAUAUUGCACAAUGGGGGAAACCCUGAUGCAGCCAUGCCGCGUGUGUGAAGAAGGCCUUCGGGUUGUAAAGCACUUUCAGUUGUGAGGAAAAGUUAGUAGUUAAUACCUGCUAGCCGUGACGUUAACAACAGAAGAAGCACCGGCUAACUCCGUGCCAGCAGCCGCGGUAAUACGGAGGGUGCGAGCGUUAAUCGGAAUUACUGGGCGUAAAGCGCACGCAGGCGGUUUGUUAAGCUAGAUGUGAAAGCCCCGGGCUCAACCUGGGAUGGUCAUUUAGAACUGGCAGACUAGAGUCUUGGAGAGGGGAGUGGAAUUCCAGGUGUAGCGGUGAAAUGCGUAGAUAUCUGGAGGAACAUCAGUGGCGAAGGCGACUCCCUGGCCAAAGACUGACGCUCAUGUGCGAAAGUGUGGGUAGCGAACAGGAUUAGAUACCCUGGUAGUCCACACCGUAAACGCUGUCUACUAGCUGUGUGUG
rnacentral:rRNA from 11 species